UUAAGUUCAGCGGGUAUCCCUACCUGAUCCGAGGUCAAGAGUUAAAGUAUAGGCUUAAUGGACGCAAGCGUUCAAGACGAGAUGCGCAAAAUGUGCUGCGCUCCCAGGCUAGUACGCCGGCUGCCAAUUGCUUUGAGGCGAGUCCACGCAAAAUCGCGGGACAAACACCCAACACCAAGCAGAGCUUGAAGGUACAAAUG
rnacentral:misc_RNA from 1 species